AUGCUCAUUAUGAUAGAUAUUGAUGUAAUUUAU
rnacentral:guide_RNA from 1 species